UGCUGGUGCUUUACAGGGAUGGAACAGACUCAAAGUCCUUCAAUGUUGUUAACUUGUUGAAUGCCUUGUACACGCUGUUCAACGCCAUCAUUUCCAACUAUGACAUCUAAAAGGUUGAAAGCAUCGACGAUGCCUACAUGUUGGUCUCCUGCCUACUGAUCCGUAAUGGCAGCCGUCAUGCUGGUAUGAUCGCCUCCACUGCAUGGCAUCUCCUGGAGGGCGUUAAUAGUUGAUCAUGCCACACAAACAAGAUGAGAAACUCAAACUCCGCAUCGGUAUUCACUCAGGGCAAAGGUGAAAGCCUGACGUACUGGCUCGAGGGACAUGAUCCAAGCUACAAGAUCGACCAAAUCAAGCCACCCAAACAAAACUUGUAAACAACCAGAAUAUUAUCCCAACAUUAUCUGCAACGCAUUUGGAUCAGCAAUUUUUUGUAAAGAGGUGAUGGCAGAUCUACCAGCUCACUUCACAUCAGAGAGCUCUCUUGAGAAGCACUAUAGAAG